GGCGUGGCGCAGUUUGGUAGCGCGCCUGCUUUGGGAGCAGGAGGCCGCGGGUUCGAAUCCCUCCGC
rnacentral:tRNA from 1 species